AUCAUCGGCUAUCUUUCCUAGA
rnacentral:miRNA from 1 species